UGGGGAAUAUUGCACAAUGGGCGCAAGCCUGAUGCAGCAACGCCGCGUGAACGAUGAAGGUCUUCGGAUCGUAAAGUUCUGUUGCAGGGGAAGAUAAUGACGGUACCCUGUGAGGAAGCCCCGGCUAACUACGUGCCAGCAGCCGCGGUAAUACGUAGGGGGCUAGCGUUAUCCGGAUUUACUGGGCGUAAAGGGUGCGUAGGUGGUCUUUCAAGUCGGUGGUUAAAGGCUACGGCUCAACCGUAGUUAGCCUCCGAAACUGGAAGACUUGAGUGCAGGAGAGGAAAGUGGAAUUCCCAGUGUAGCGGUGAAAUGCGUAGAUAUUGGGGGGAACACCAGUAGCGAAGGCGGCUUUCUGGACUGCAACUGACACUGAGGCACGAAAGCGUGGGUAGCAAACAGG
rnacentral:rRNA from 1 species